rnacentral:rRNA from 1 species
GUCGAGCGAACAGACGAGGAGCUUGCUCCUCUGACGUUAGCGGCGGACGGGUGAGUAACACGUGGAUAACCUACCUAUAAGACUGGGACAACUUCGGGAAACCGGAGCUAAUACCGGAUAAUAUAUUGAACCGCAUGGUUCAAUAGUGAAAGACGGUUUUGCUGUCACUUAUAGAUGGAUCCGCGCCGCAUUAGCUAGUUGGUAAGGUAACGGCUUACCAAGGCAACGAUGCGUAGCCGACCUGAGAGGGUGAUCGGCCACACUGGAACUGAGACACGGUCCAGACUCCUACGGGAGGCAGCAGUAGGGAAUCUUCCGCAAUGGGCGAAAGCUUGACGGAGCAACGCCGCGUGAGUGAUGAAGGUCUUCGGAUCGUAAAACUCUGUUAUUAGGGAAGAACAAAUGUGUAAGUAACUAUGCACGUCUUGACGGUACCUAAUCAGAAAGCCACGGCUAACUACGUGCCAGCAGCCGCGGUAAUACGUAGGUGGCAAGCGUUAUCCGGAAUUAUUGGGCGUAAAGCGCGCGUAGGCGGUUUUUUAAGUCUGAUGUGAAAGCCCACGGCUCAACCGUGGAGGGUCAUUGGAAACUGGAAAACUUGAGUGCAGAAGAGGAAAGUGGAAUUCCAUGUGUAGCGGUGAAAUGCGCAGAGAUAUGGAGGAACACCAGUGGCGAAGGCGACUUUCUGGUCUGUAACUGACGCUGAUGUGCGAAAGCGUG